rnacentral:rRNA from 1 species
AGGGUGCAAGCGUUAAUCGGAAUUACUGGGCGUAAAGCGCGCGUAGGUGGUUCGUUAAGUUGGAUGUGAAAUCCCCGGGCUCAACCUGGGAACUGCAUUCAAAACUGUCGAGCUAGAGUAUGGUAGAGGGUGGUGGAAUUUCCUGUGUAGCGGUGAAAAUGCGUAGAUAUAGGAAGGAACACCAGUGGCGAAGGCGACCACCUGGACAAAGACUGACGCUCAGAUGCGAAAGCGUGGGGAGCAAACAGGAUUAGAUACCCUGGUAG